UCCUAAUCUACAUAUUCACUAUGCUCCCUAAAUUCAUUUAUAUGGUAUUAUUGGGAGCUGAGAAUGGUUUUGUCUGAAAGAAUAGCUUAGCCAGAGUAGCUUAGAUUCUAGACCAGAUCUAAAAGUAAUCUUACUUUUACAGAUAAUGAGUUCUUUUCAUUGUUCAUUUGCUUGUUUUCAGUGUAGCUCUCUGUAUCCGACAAAAUGGCGCAUAAUCAUCUGUGAAAAUUGGAGAGUGUGCUCCUCUUACUUAUAAAAAAAAUAGUGAACUGUAAAACAGCCUCAGGCAUGUCCUUCAGGAGGAUUCCAGAAUAAGGCAUUGUUAUCAUAGGAGAUGACAGUUCCAUGCAUGUUAUUGCCCCUGAAGACUUUCCAGUGGGACAAGAUGUGGAGAUGAAGACAGUGAUACUGAUGGUCCUGACCCUGUGUAGGCCUUGGCACUCUCUUUAGGUCUGCAUGCUUCUCAAAUUGAGCUGUAACACUCACUGCUGCGGUCCAAGCCUUCAUUCUUUGAAGCCCGUGGAACCACAAACUCUUCAAUUGAUAAAAACCUUCGAUCGGAAGAGACUUCUCAUCUCAUUUCUGGGGGCCUGUCCGGGAUUUCUCUGAAGUGAAUAGAAUCCAUGAAACUGCAAGUGGUUCUACAAAUGGAGCCCCAAAUGACCACCACUAGCACCUACUAUCGAGGACCCCUAGACUGACCUACCAACCUGUUCUAACACCACGACACUGAAGAAGACUCCCCUCCUGAGGAACCCUCAACUGCAGAUCCCCUUCUGUGCCCCAGUUCAGCAGGAAGUAGCUAGAAUGAUCAUUGCCCAACUUCUCAACAGCACUUGGGCUUUCCUGUUGAGAGGGGGUACUGAGGCACUAAGUGGCUAAGUUAGCUAGACUUCCUGGGUCAACAGGGACUUCCCUAAGGGGACAUUCCUCUAAGCCAAAAUGAGUCAUAGCUGCAAGCUAAGGGAUUGAAACUUCAACCAAUCAAAGGGGACUUUCUCCUAAGCAAAAAUGAGUCACUGCUGCAAACUAAGUGAUUGAAACUUCACCCAAUCAUAUAGGGAGUUUAAGCUUUAGCUGCAGCCUGAUGUUUUUAACCAAUCAGGCCUGCCAACCCACAAGCAGAUAGAAAAUAAGCUAAUCCUAUGGGACAGAAAAAGGAAAAGGGGAGGAGUCAUAAGAGGAUAUAAGCAUAAGACACCCAAGCCAGAAACGGAAACCCUUCCGGGUCUCCUUCCACCACGUGGAAGCUUUACUUUUGCUUUUACUUUACUUUCACUUUAAUAAACCUUGGCGCUGCACACUC
rnacentral:lncRNA from 1 species